rnacentral:rRNA from 1 species
UAACCUACCCUUGGGACUGGAAUAACCCCGGGAAACUGGGGAUAAUACCGGAUAGAUCAGGGAUGCUGGAAUGCACCUUGAUCCAAAGCUCCGGCGCCYAAGGAUGGGUCUGCGGCCUAUCAGGUAGUAGUGGGUGUAACGUACCUACUAGCCAACGACGGGUACGGGUUGUGAGAGCAAGAGCCCGGAGAUGGAUUCUGAGACACGAAUCCAGGCCCUACGGGGUGCAGCAGGCGCGAAACCUUUACAAUGUGCGAAAGCAUGAUAAGGGAACUCCGAGUGCCAGUAUCUAAUACUGGCUGUCCUUGUGCCUAAAACGCACAAGAUAGCAAGGGCCGGGUAAGACCGGUGCCAGCCGCCGCGGUAACACCGGCGGCCCGAGUGGUAGCCGCUAUUAUUGGGUCUAAAGGGUCCGUAGCCGGUUCGAUAAGUCCUCUGGGAAAUCUGGUUGCUUAACAAUCAGACUGCCAAGGGAUACUGUCGAACUUGAGACCGGGAGAGGUAAGAGGUACUUCAGGGGUAGGAGUGAAAUCUUGUAAUCCCUGGGGGACCAUCUGUGGCGAAGGCGUCUUACCAGAACGGGUCUGACGGUGAGGGACGAAAGCUGGGGGCGCAAACCGGAUUAGAUACCCGGGUAGUCCCAGCCGUAAACGAUGCUCGCUAUGUGUCAGGUACGGUGUGACCGUAUCUGGUGCCGUAGGGAAGCCGUGAAGCGAGCCACCUGGGAAGUACGGYCGCAAGGCUGAAACUUAA